rnacentral:pre_miRNA from 1 species
UCUUAUGGAAGAGCAAAGAAAGUGGUUUCUUGAGAUGGAAUUUACUCCUGGUGAAGAUGCUGUGAA